ACUUGGCCUCACAUCCUGCUCACCGAAGUCAUACCUUGACUGGCAGUCCCGGUGAGCUAGCAAGAACUGAAGAGCACGCGGAGGUUUUUGUUUUAGUACGUAGGCAUAAUCCCAUUAGGGUUUAUGAAUCGUGCAUGCCCCCUAAGGACGGUAGGUAGUAUCUUUAGAAGAUUUUAAUUUUCCUCCC
rfam:Drosophila melanogaster chromosome 3R.